GUGCUCGCUUCAGCAGCACAUAUGGUAAAACUGGAACGAUACAGAGAAGAUGAGCAUGGCCCCUGUGCAAGGAUGAUGCAAAUUUGUGAAGCUUUCCAUAUUUUU